AGCGAACGCUGGCGGCAGGCCUAACACAUGCAAGUCGAACGAACUCUUCGGAGUUAGUGGCGGACGGGUGAGUAACACGUGGGAACGUGCCUUUUGGUUCGGAAUAACUCAGGGAAACUUGUGCUAAUACCGAAUGUGCCCUUCUGGGGAAAGAUUUAUCGCCAUUAGAGCGGCCCGCGUCUGAUUAGCUAGUUGGUGAGGUAACGGCUCACCAAGGCGACGAUCAGUAGCUGGUCUGAGAGGAUGACCAGCCACACUGGGACUGAGACACGGCCCAGACUCCUACGGGAGGCAGCAGUGGGGAAUCUUGCGCAAUGGGCGAAAGCCUGACGCAGCCAUGCCGCGUGAAUGAUGAAGGUCUUAGGAUUGUAAAAUUCUUUCACCGGGGACGAUAAUGACGGUACCCGGAGAAGAAGCCCCGGCUAACUUCGUG
rnacentral:rRNA from 1 species